UGCAAGUAUACCCACACAUACAUAGAAGGAAGGAAACAAGAAACCAUUCCUCAUGGAACUUAUCAAUAGCAAAACAAGAGCCCUACUCUUGGUAGCCCUUUUGAUGAUGUUUACCACCCUAUUGUCAUGCCAUGCAGGUUCCACAAAACCAAUCCCCAUCCCGGAUUUAUGUGUGCCUCUUGUAAGCUGUGCGAAAGGCCAUGAAUCCGAAGAGGCAUGCAAGAACCACUGCUCAUUUUUUGAAUUCAAAAAGAGCCAUUGUAAACCAAUCAAAGGUGGUUCUUGUUGUUGCUCUAAUUAAAGGGUCGCAUAGGUAAUGGAAGAAAUGUGCUAAUAAAUUGAUGUGUGUAAGAUAGGCUCAAGAUACAUGUGCACCAUGAAUUUGUCUAGUUCAUGCAAAAGUUUGAAUAAUGUAUUUAUCAGAAAUUUGACUGUGAUCAGUUCUUGAAAAUAGAGGAACCAAUUUUUGUUGGUUUA